UACGGAGGGGGCUAGCGUUGUCCGGAUUUACUGGGCGUAAAGCGCACGUAGGCGGCUUUGUUAGUUAGAGGUGAAAGCCCGGGGCUCAACUCCGGAAUUGCCUUUAAGACUGCAUCGCUCGAAUUGUGGAGAGGUAAGUGGAAUUCCGAGUGUAGAGGUGAAAUUCGUAGAUAUUCGCAAGAACACCAGUGGCGAAGGCGGCUCACUGGCCCGGUACUGACGCUGAGGCACGAAAGCGUGGGGAGCAAACAGG
rnacentral:rRNA from 1 species